UUAGUAACUGGACUUGUUUCCUAAGAAAAUAUUUUUAACCUGCGUAUCAAAUUGAACUUCAACUUUGGCCAAAAAGAGCACCGUGUGUCAGCAUAGCAUUUCUGAAGGGACAUCACAACUAGCAGCUAGACUGACAGUUACACAGACCCAGCAGCUACAGGGUCUCUUCCUAGAAACAACAAGAAAUAAAGCCUGGAGUUGACCACAUCUCCCGGGGAGCAAUUACUACUUAAUAAGCUUCCUGAGCUUGUUUAUGUUCCCUUCUAGCUAAGGUCUUUCUGACCACGGGGUAAUAAUUUGAUAACAAGAAAUCCUGAUUAAAUUAAGAGGCCAUUUGCUAGAGCAUAAUGUCUCAGUAGGUAAGAGAUUUGCUUUGCAGGAGAUGCUCUUGCUGCUCUGAGCUGCAUAUAUGUCUGGUUGUUUAAAAGCCAACCCAAACAACCUUUACCUUUUAAAUAGGAUUAUUAGUAACCAAUUCACUGAGACUAGACUGACAUCUUGACAUUUUUUCUGUCAUUUAAAAAACCAAGCAGUCUCUCUCUCAGAGGCAGAGAUUCUGUGGUGUGGAUAUGUGAAAUACACUAUGUACAGAACUGGACUGGUGAUAUUGCAGAGAUAAGCCUACCUUCAUCCAUCACUUUUGAUAACAGGGCCUAACUAGAUCUACAGGCAUUCAUCUGGUCAUGUCCUGUUGAUCUUAAGAGAUUCACCAGUUCCACUCCAGUAUCAUCCUCCUUCUUCUUUAAUGGUCCCUCUGUGAGAACAGGGCUGUUAAGAGCAGAAAAUUAUACAAAAAGCAGAAUAUGCACAAUAAAGUCUCCAAAAACAUAGGAAACUGUCUGGUGAAAUAAGAGGAAGCAGAUGAGCCUAAGAGGUGAUGUAGAAAAAAUAAGGAUAUUUACAAAAGCAGUGUUAGAUGACAUAACUGGGAGGCGGGGAGUUUAACGCAUUUUAAAAUAUACAAUAUAUUGUUCACAUCAAAAAUCUCCCUAGGAUUUAUGGCAAUACCAAUGGUUGGAUUGUUCUGUACUGUUGUGCUGUCAGCACAGAGAAAGCAAAGGGUCUAUGUCAUAUGUAAUAAUUGGUCUCUGACCACACCUAGUCCAUUAGUACUGGUGCAGGCUGUAAAUACAACCUCAUUACUCCUGACUCUUCGGAUUAGCAGACCAGAAGGGGAUCAAACUACAGCACCAACCUUUUAGAAGCCAGAAAUUCAAGAGAAAGCUGCAGAACAAAAGCAGAUAGAAACAGAAACUUUAAGAAGUAAAUCCAGUCAUCUAUCCCACGAUCAGCAUACUUUAGUGCGGAGCAGAGUGUGAGACAACCGCAGAAAUCCCAUCUGGCUUGUGGUGCUUGGACGAACCAUGCAGGAGUCCUUCGCUGUCCACUUCCUGAAAGUGCUGAAGGAGCUCCUGGCCUUCGUGCUGUUCAGUUACACGGUGCUGAUUGGAGCACUGCUCCUGGCUGGCUGGACAACUUACUUUUUGGUGCUUAAGUGACAGCUCCCCUCUAUCUUCUCUGGCUACAGACUAGUCCAGAAUGUGCAACAGUCACCACCAAGUACCCUGCAGCUGGCAUCUGCUCAACAAAUAGAAUGUCAGUUCCUUUUGGCUCCACAAACUUUGCAAGUCUUUGUUUUAUUAUUGGCUAAAUACAAUCUUAUUUUCUUAUGUAAAACAAAAAAUUAUUAAAAAACACCUUGCUGACCCCCA